rnacentral:RNase_P_RNA from 1 species
UUAGUUAACCAGAUGAUCGCGGCAAACCAAAAGUUUGACGAGGAAAGUCCGAGCUCCAUAGGACAGGGUGCUGGGUAACUCCCAGUGAAGGCAACUUUAAGGAAAGUGCAUAGAAAAUAACUGCUAACCGCUACUUAGGUAGUAGGAGUAAGGGUGGAAAAGUGAGGUAAGAGCUCACUAACACUAUGGUGACAUAGUGGUUGAGCAAACCCCACCUGGUGCAAGGUAAAAAGGGCAAAUUGGUCGUCCGCCAUGCCCUAUACACCGCUUGAAUGCAUUGGAAACAAUGCAUCUAGAUAGAUGAUCAUCUAAUACAGAACUCGGCUUAUAGGUUAAGUAACAAC